UGGGGAAUCUUGCACAAUGGGGGAAACCCUGAUGCAGCGACGCCGCGUGAACGAUGAAGCCCUCCGGGGUGUAAAGUUCUUUCGACAGGAACGAUAAUGACGGUACCUGGAGAAGAAGCUGCGGCUAACUACGUGCCAGCAGCCGCGGUAAUACGUAGGCAGCGAGCGGUGUUCGGAGUUACUGGGCGUAAAGAGUGCGUAGGCGGCGAGCCAAGUUUGGUGUGAAAUCUCCCGGCUUAAUCGGGAGGGUGCGCCGAAAACUGGUUGGCUGGAGUAUGGGAGAGGAAAGCGGAAUUCCUGGUGUAGCGGAGAAAUGCGUAGAUAUCAGGAGGAACACCGGCGGUGUAGGCGGCUUGCUAGACCAUAACGGACGCUGAGGCA
rnacentral:rRNA from 1 species